rnacentral:lncRNA from 1 species
UGUGGUUUCUGAGGUAUUUCCAUUUAAGGCAUGCAAAGAAAUAGCCAUUUCUGUUUGAUGCUCUACGCUGUCAUUGAUCACUUCAAUAUCUGGUUCUUCCUUGCAUUCUUCUUCCCACUCAUCAUCUCCAAUGAUCAUAUAGAUUUGUUUAAACUUGCACUUGUGACCUUGUCUGUAGAUCUCAUCACAAUUAAAACAUAAUCCUUUUUCCCUCCUAGCUUGCAUUUCACUGUGUGUGAGUUUUUUAAUUUGACCACCAAUAUUGUCUUUUAGAUUUCCCCCUCCC